AAGUCGUAACAAGGUUUCCGUAGGUGAACCUGCGGAAGGAUCAUUAAUUGAUUUUCCAAUUUACUGUGCAACGUUUUUAUUUUAUGUGGGCGGCUUCGGUCGCCCGAUUUUUAAUUUUCUAUCGUUAUGAAUGUCCUUACCAACACAAAACUUUCAACAACGGAUCUCUUGGCUCUC
rnacentral:misc_RNA from 1 species